UCGUCCGGCCAAAAAUAGGAAUAUCCUGGGGGCUUUUGGUGGCCAGGGCCCCUGCUUGCAGCCGUCCUUCUUUUGAGCUAUGGCCAUCUAGUAGUCGUCCAGAGAGCUAGCGCCCAACUUUGGGCGGUAAAUGGAUGCUAUGGCCCUUGUCCUGCAUUUUUGAUCUUCGGGUACGACUAUUUGUUUUUCGGCUCGGGGCAUCCUAAACUUCUUCUCAAAAUUGGACUUCUCAACACCCCCCCCGGUUUGGAAGGCCUAGCUGUGUGGUUAGUUGUUACUGAUGGUUUACGCAGUAGAGUCAAUGCUGCAGUCAUUUUGUGCUAUCUUGUCCAACUCUCCCUCUCCGAGUGGGUAAUACAAAGUGAGAAAUGGGGUGUUGCAAAUAAUCGAAUACGGGUCAAUCGCAUUCCGUGCUUCCGCCAUCAUGUCUAGAAAAUUUUACUUAGAUUUAGGUGGCUACAAGAUUUUGGCAGAUUUGAUUUUUGGAAAAGAAAUCAACUUGGAAAACUUAUGAAGUUGAUUUAAUUUCUUGAUUAUGAUUCCCCAUGUUGUGUCCACUCCUCAAAAACCUAAGAUCCCC
rnacentral:sRNA from 1 species